UACAGAGGGUGCAAGCGUUGUUCGGAAUUAUUGGGCGUAAAGGGUGCGUAGGCGGUGCGGUAAGUCUGUAGUGAAAUCUCUGGGCUCAACUCAGAGUCUGCUAUAGAAACUGCCGUGCUUGAGUGUGGGAGAGGUGAGUGGAAUUCCCGGUGUAGCAGUGAAAUGCGUAGAUAUCGGGAGGAACACCAGUGGCGAAGGCGGCCUUCUGGACCAGUACUGACGCUCAUGCACGAAAGCGUGGGGAGCAAACAGG
rnacentral:rRNA from 1 species